rnacentral:rRNA from 1 species
ACAGCAGCAGCCGCGGGAAUACGUAGGGUGCGAGCGUUAAUCGGAAUUACUGGGCGUAAAGCGUGCGCAGGCGGUUUUGUAAGACAGGCGUGAAAUCCCCGGGCUCAACCUGGGAAUGGCGCUUGUGACUGCAAAGCUAGAGUGCGGCAGAGGGGGAUGGAAUUCCGCGUGUAGCAGUGAAAUGCGUAGAUAUGCGGAGGAACACCGAUGGCGAAGGCAAUCCCCUGGGCCUGCACUGACGCUCAUGCACGAAAGCGUGGGGAGCAAACAGGAUUAGAUACCCCCGUAGUCCCUGUCUCUUAUAA